GGACUGGGAAAGAGAGGGCCGGGACCUGCCAGGUGACAGGUGCUUAGGACACCCCUGCCGCUCCCGUCCUGCUUUCUAAUCACUGACCUCCCUUGCUUCUGCCGCAUCCUGGGGGCAGGUGAGACGGUGAGAGGCGAGGUCGAGGGAAGAUCGGGGAGAAGGGGAGCAUCCCAGAGCGGGAGGUCAGUUUGAUUUCUUUCAGAGAUUGCCAAUCAAGUGAGAGAAAGAUGCAUUGGGCUGUCUAGGGUAGAAAGAGAAAGAAAGAUCUCAAGGCUUGCAGAAGUAAAUAUUGGAGCCUAAAGAAAGAGACAAGGAGACCUCAAGGUAGGGUGUUUUCUGUCCCUUGGGGCCAGACACCGGCUAGGCCUCGUUUCCCUGCGAAAAUAUGGGCGGGCUGGGCGGUCCCUUGAGGCUCUUUCCAGCGGGCCUCUGGCUAAGUCAUUGCAAAUACAAUUGGACUCCAGACGGUCCUCAGAGAGCCUCCACAGGGCCCUGUUUUUUUUUUUUUAUUUUUUUUUUUUUUACAAAUUAUUUUCCCAGUUUGGGGGCUGUAAAUUUCUCUCUGAAAAUCUCCAACGACCUUUGUGGAGUAAUUCCCAGGAGAUACACCCUCUUUUAUUCUACAGCACAAAUUCCAAAUGGCAUUUCCACAUCAGGAUGGUUAUGUAACUUCUCAGAUAAAGCUGUAUCGACGUACACUUUAUUAGAUGACGUCUUGGCUUACACAUUCCAUUGUGUGAAUCACUGGGGUGUUCUACACUAAUAAGCAGGGAACAUAUGUGACCUACUGCAGUUUCAGAGGACCUCAGAAGCUCCCUUCCAGCCACUGAUACUGGCUGCAUGGCCCAAAACAUCACUGCAGCUUUGUGUCUUAGUUUUCCUUUUAUGGACCAGAGCUAAUCAGGUAAUCUCAGUUGCACAGUAAGAAUUACCUGCACAUACCUGUAAGCCACAGUCCUUUGUGGAAGUGGUUCCCUCAUUAGAGGCUGAAGUGCAGUUGUAGCUCACAUUUUUACUCCUGUUUAACAGUCUUAGCUCAAAUCACACCUAUUAAUUAUUCUAAAAUUGUAGGCAGUUAAAGGAAACUUGAUGUUUGAAAGUACUUUGAUAUAUCUCAAUUUCUAAGAGUCUGGUAUAGGGGAAAGAGCAUUAAAGUUGUUCUUUGUCAUUAGCUAAGCAUACAUACAUCACCAUACAUCCUGGUGAUUAAAGAGCUGCUGCUCUGGGUUCAAAUCCUUCCUUUAUUAUUGACUAGCUGGGUGAUUACAUGAGUUACUUCAUCUGUAUCUUCUCUGGACCUUAGUUUCUUCACCAGAGAUGAUGAUGAUAAUGAUGAUGAUGAUGACAACUAGGAUGAUAAUGCCUAUCUUGGGUUAGCUGUGAUGAUUAAGUAAACUGGUUCCUGUACCUUCUUUAGAAUAGCACCCGGCACAUUGUAAGCACUUACUCUACCAAAGUUCAGGCAGAUUGCAAGCACUGGGGUUCGCAGAGACUUUUUUGCCAAGGUUAAAUUCCAGUGAGGAAAGGCAAACAAUGAACAAAUAUGUAAUAUAUCAGGUGGGAAAAAAUGUUAGGAAAAAAUAAUACCACAGGUAAGGAGGGAGAGAGAAGUAGCAUGAUGCCGUAGGGUGGUCAGGGAACCAUCUCUGAUAAAGUGACAUUUGAGAAAAUCCCUGAAGAAAGGAAGGGAGGGAGGGAGUCAUCUGGACCUCUGGAGGAAAAGGUUGCUGGCAGAGGGAACUGCAAGGGUGAUGUCCCCAAGGUGGAGUGAAUGGAGAAAACAUUGGGGCAAGGGUCCAGAGGCUGGUGGGUAGUUAGGUGUAGAUAGGCCUUGGGAACUGUGGUGAGGACUGGCUUUUACCGUAGGGAGAUGGGAAGACAUCAGAAGCUGUGUAGAAAAGAGGGACAGUUUGCCUUCUGUUGUAGAUGCCUCCCUCUGGCUGCUGUGUGGAGUGACCUUUGGGGAAAAGGUAUUAUAUAGGAGAGAGGGGAAAACAGGAUUUAGGUCACUCCUGCACCAUUCCAAGCAAGAGGUAAUGGUGGUUUAGACAUAGUGGAAGUGCUAAAGAUGUGAGGACACUGUGGGCCCUUGAUAAGUCCUACUUGUCAUAGAAAAUCAAUAGUUCAUACCCCUUAUGGGUCUCAAUUUCCUUACUUGCAAGAUUAAGGGUGUGAGCUCAUUCACCAUUCCCUUUCAGCUCUUUGAAAGUUCUUCUGAAAACCUGUGUAAAUGCCGACUAAAUUUUAAUGGGUUUGAGAGUAGGUGCUAAUGAAUGAAAAUAAUCUUGGGUAAUAAGUAGUUUUGUAAGGUGAAGAAUAACCCUCUGAUUUGUUUUGUUAGUGAAGGUGAAGAUACUUGGAUUGUUGAAGAUGAGUUUCUUACACUUAAGAAUAGCAAGGUACUGAACCUUCCCAGAAUAUCCAGAAUAUUUUAACAUGGAAAAUUGUCUUUUAUUCUAAAAAUGCUAGAUUACUUCUCAGUCUACAGAAUGGUUAAUUUUGCACAUGGUGAGCAUAGAGAAAGCCUAAAAGAAAAAAGCCAUUAUCGAAUUAAUGAACUAUAGAGCUUAAAAGUUUUGCUUUUUUGAGUUGUAAAGUGAAGGAUAGGCAAACUAUGCUUUGAUUACAGGCAUUUGUAUCUUAAAACAUUAAUGAAGAUUGUGACCCACUUAUGAACUACAACUGAAAUUUCAUGAUGAACUGUAUUUUCUACUGGAAAACCACUAAAACAGCUAUCAAAGGGGAGAGGGCAGUCAACCAUGAUUAACAGUGAAAGAAGAAUAAACAGAUAUUUGAUGAUGGACUUUGCUAAAUGAUCUUCCCUGAUAAAAAUAGUAGCUCACUUCCUUCUUUCCUUCUCAUGUUAUAUGUUUUAUUUAAAUGAAUGCGCACAGAAUUUCUAAUAUUGAGAAGAGAAUGAAGCACUGAUGAAUGAAUUAUUUUAUCAGCAUUUCUGUGUGCAGUGUUACCAUGGCCCAAGAAGAAAUAUUUGCAAAUGUUUCCAUCAAGAAUCUCUAACAUGAAGAACAACCUGUCAGGGGCCAUGUGGGUGUAGCUACCAGCUCAAAAUGUCCUUGUAAUAUUGAAUAUAAUAUUCUAUGCAUUUCACAUUCUGUUCCAUUAUAAUGCCAUGUUUAUUUUUAUACAAAUAAACAUAAUGUACUCCUCACAACCAUACCUUUAGUAAAAUUGAAGCAUCCCAAAUGUUUAUUUCUGGAAGACAUUGACUCCUUCCCCAUCCUAAGCCCCAAAGGGUGGUUGUAACCCACUUUGAGAAAUAAGACCCCCGCACAGUGUUAAGUUCCAUUGAGGCUUUCAGAGCGCCACAAUUGUGUUUGCUGAGCUGGUCUCACCAUCAAUAUUUAUGUAGGGAGUAAAAUACAUAGAAUCAGCAUUCUUUUGUUUACUUAAGUAGGAGGGCAAUCAUUUAUCAAGCUAUUUUUCUAUACUUCAAAAUAUGAUUACAGUUCUUAAUUCUUUUCGGAACUGCAGUCAUAGUUAUCAAAUAAUUAUUUAGACACACAAAUUUGUGUUCUACCAAAGUAAUUAGGGGACAGCCAUAAAACUUGGCAGUCAGUGCCAGUUCCCAACAUUUCAUUAUUUUCCGUUUAUUUACGAGGAAACUAGAACCAGCCUCCCUGUGUGUGUGUUUUAAUUACUCAGUCCAGGAAGGAUUGACUUUAGAAAACCUCUUGGUUAAGAAGAUAAUCAGGAGCCCAUUCCCAGAAGGAGCUCAGAGCUUCAAAGGUGCCCGCAGCUCCAUGUCCCGGGGUUGUCACCGUGGGACCUUCAGCAUGCCUGAGAAGUCCUCGCUGGAGCCACAGCUCUCUUCUGUGAGAGGUAACAAAAGCCCCGACCACAGCGAGCAGAAUGGGUUCUGCUGAGAGAAACAGAGAGCCCUGCUUCCAGCGCUCAGACCUGGCAGCAUGAAUGAAAGAUAUUUUAAGACUCUUUUCAGCGGGGUUUGUGCGUAUACUGAGUCAACAAUGUGCUUCUGCGCGAGGUCUUCGCAGCCUCACCUUCCAGCGAUUCCAAGAGGCGGAUCUGUCCAUCAGCCAGUCUUUUACCCAAGAGGAAUGUGACAGGCCUGUGAGGCGGUGCCCGGGCCUAAUUACGCUCUUCUCAUUGUUGCUUUGACGCUUCUGUUUUCAUUUGCUGGCUUAUAGUCCUCCCUUUCAUUGCCUCUGUGAUUUUAUUUUCUUGUUGUCAAGUGGCAUAAAGGCCUCCUUAGUUUUGGAGUUUCAUGGAAACUUGCCUGGCUUGGCUGGGUGGAAGGAGACCAAGAUUCCGAUUCAGCAGCGAUCUGAAAGCCCUGACUGACUGGGAGGAAAAUAGGAGGCAGGCUGCCAGGUGGGCAGUUGCAUUUUAGAGGAAACAUUUAGUGACUCGGAUUUUUGGCCUUCUUAAAAGGUGAACUACACAGAACGGGAGUUAACGCAGCACAGCUUUGGAACAAACUACCCUCCAGAAGGGGCCUGGGAAUUUAAGCUUGGCAUCCAAAUUUGAUUACCAAAGUAAUUCAGAGAAGAAGACAUGCUUCGUGUAUUCAAUUUAACAACUAUUCAUUGAGCUGAAGCUCUUAGUUGCCAUUUUUAUAAUUUUUUUAACUCUCUUUAAAAAAAAGUUACAUGCAUACUUGCACUUACAGCAUGUAGAUAUGUAUUUCUUAAGGGUCUCUCUACUAUGCUAAUGUUAGGGCUGAGGACACACCAUCCUAAAAUAUGGCUGUAGAACAGAAUAAUAUGAUGCCCCCAAAUACAUAUCUUUGACGUAAUUUGAGUUGAUUAUUCUGAGAAAUUUCAAGAAGGAGUAGCUCUUGAAAAGCUGUCCCUUUGUAAAGGAGAUUUACAUCUAUAAAGGAACUCUGUAUCAGUAAAGUAUCUGUCUGGACAAGAUGCUCUAGACAACUUUUGUCACAUUUGCAUGCCUGGAGAACCUUUAUUUACAGUGCCUAUUCUGCGUCACCUUCCUGUAACUUGUGUGGCUACAAUUUUCCAGGAGCCACAAGUUUCCCUAGCUUGGGAUGCUAUGUAAACAUCACUCGGCUGCAUUUUCUUUGAGCCUCAGAUUUUUGUGGGACUCUUGUGGAUGCAACUUCAAGUCUCCUGGGAUAUUCCUCUUUUUAAUGCAACAGACACCUUCUCUAUGGAAAUUCUGGAGUCACCACUUUUGAUUUCAUAGGCUGAAACAGAAAAAGUAUUGAAAAUAAAUAUUUGAUUUGAUUUGAAGACCAACACUAAGCCUUCUAUAGAAAAGGGAAAUGUUACACAUUGUAUAAACUCCAAAGAAUGACAGUGCUGCUCUUGUAAUCAUUGAUCUGAACAUUGAUACUACUGGACAUAAUUCAUACUCCUGCAAAAAUAAAGUGAUAAUUUAUUGAAUAUCUAUUA